rnacentral:rRNA from 1 species
CAGCAGCCGCGGUAAUACGGAGGGAGCUAGCGUUGUUCGGAAUUACUGGGCGUAAAGCGUGCGUAGGCGGCUUCUUAAGUCGGAUGUGAAAUCCCUGAGCUUAACUUAGGAAUUGCAUUCGAUACUGGGAAGCUAGAGUAUGGGAGAGGAUGGUAGAAUUCCAGGUGUAGCGGUGAAAUGCGUAGAGAUCUGGAGGAAUACCGAUGGCGAAGGCAGCCAUCUGGCCUAAUACUGACGCUGAGGUACGAAAGCAUGGGGAGCAAACAGGAUUAGAUACCCGAGUAGUCCCUGUCUCUUAUAA